UGCAUUGAUGGAAUUUGG
rnacentral:misc_RNA from 1 species